GAGUCUGGCCAUGCUGUCUCGUUGGCGCCUUUGCCAGCUGGCCUCCAUCCACAGCCUGUGUUUCUGGAGAUAUGCUCCCAGCGCCUGUGGGAGCGGGUCAGCCUGGCCCCCCCGCGCUGCUUUGGCCACAGACAUGUUUUCCCGAGCGCGGCUCUGCAGCAGCACACUGCCUAAGGACAUCCCAGUGUGUUUCUCUACUCGCUACCCAUCCAGCUAAAGCAGUCCUUGUAUCUCCCGGGGAUGUGCUCACCGGGCUCCUUGCAAAUGUAAGGGGUCAGCAGAGAAGGGAAAGCCACAGAGGGCUUAUCUGGGCUCAUAUAGGCUCGAACUGACCCUCACCCACACGGGCCAUGGUGGAUGUACAGCGAGUUCUGCUUCCCUCCGACGACAGUUUAAUUUUGUGUAUUGCUGCGAGUUCUUACCAUGGCAUAUGCUCCAGUGCAUCCUAAAUUAAAUAAACACGUCUUCUGCACAGCAGGAAAAAAAUGCCAUCACUCAGUCCAGACAGCACUAAAUAUUAAUUGCCAUGCACGAUUAAAAACACGCUGGCUCCAAGCAACUCUAUCUCAUCCAGAAGCGGGAUGACCCAUUGCAGUUUCUACCUUGCAAAUUUAACGUCCGUGAUUCCUACUGGCAUCUGAGGACAAUUCAUAUGGACUGAAGAGUUCGAUCAGCAGCUUUCAAACUGCCUCUCCUUGGAGAAUGAAAAAUGCCAAGACCCCGCCAGCCUGGGGACUAAGUUGAGUUGAAAACCUGUUGGUGUGGCAAAAAAACGAAGGCUGGAGAACCUGCCCUGAGGUCAUUUUCAUUCUUCUCUCCUGAACUCUGGAUUUUCCACCAGGAAAAAUAAACCUCAUCUAGAAGGAAGGAUGCAAUGUUUUAUGUCACAUAGUUGUUGCACUCCAGCAAAAAAAGAAAAUAAUCCUUGUCCAUGGCUUGCAUGAAGCGUUAUGGGGUCCAAAAUGGGAAUUAUUAAACAAA